rnacentral:rRNA from 1 species
UACGUAGGUGGCGAGCGUUGUCCGGAUUUACUGGGCGUAAAGAAUGCGUAGGUGGAUAUUUAAGUGGGAUGUGAAAUCCCCGGGCUCAACCCGGGAACUGCAUACCAAACUGGAUAUCUGGAGUGCAGGAGAGGAAAGCGGAAUUCCUAGUGUAGCGGUGAAAUGCGUAGAUAUUAGGAGGAACACCAGUGGCGAAGGCGGCUUUCUGGACUGUAACUGACACUGAGGCAUGAAAGCGUGGGGAGCAAAC